UCUCUCUCUCUCUCCAGAGGUAUCAGUCUCUCUCUCUCUCUCUCUCUCUCUCUCUCCAGAGGUAUCAGUCUCUCUCUCUCUCUCUCUCCAGAGGUAUCAGUCUCUCUCCAGUAUCAGUGUAUCUUCAGACUUACCCAGCAUCGUUGUCCGUCCUCUUCAGUACUUUGGAGAUGUGAGUCAGACUGUGUCUGAACUGAGAGAGAAACUAGAAGACUUCCUUAAAGGAGAAUGGACCAAGAUCUCCACUACAGUGAAUAUAGUGGAUGUUGUACUGCCUCCAGAGCCCAAGACCAGAGAACAGUUGUUACAAUAUUCCUGUCAGCUCACACUGGACCCAAACACAGCACACACACACUCUCUCUGUCUGAAGGGAACAGAAAGGUGACCUAUACAGACCAAGUCCAACCAUAUCCUGUCCAUCCAGACAGAUUCACCAACUGGUGUCAGGUUCUGUGUAGAGAGGGUCUGUCUGGACGCUGUUACUGGGAGGUGGAGAGGACUGGUGGUGUUAUUACAGCAGUCUCAUAUAAAGACAUCAGCAGAACAGAGAGAGAUGGUGGAUUUGGAUACAAUAACAAGUCCUGGAGUUUAUAUUACUAUAGAGGUGGUUAUUGUUUCAGACACAAUAAUGUUGUGACUAAAGUAUCAGGCCCUCAGUCCUCCAGAGUAGGAGUGUACCUGGAUCACAAGGCAGGUACUCUGUCCUUCUACAGUGUCUCUGACACAAUGACCCUCCUCCACAGAGUCCAGACCACAUUCACUCAGCCCCUCUAUCCUGGGUUUUGGCUCUAUGAUUAUUAUAAUGGUUCUGCUGAGCUGGUUAAACUGUAAACUGAUUUGUUAUUAAUUAAAAUUCAAUACAAUGUUUUAAUCUUGUACAUUUCCAUGAA